UAAAAAAAAAUGUGGGAGAAAAACUUCUAUGACUGUCACUCAUAAAUACAUCAAAUCUAAGCUAUAUUAUUUAGGUUGGAAUGGGAUGGAUGGAUAUAUAAGAGAAUGGCGAAGGAGGAAGAUAUAAUAGUGGAUUUUAAGGACUUUUUAAUUCCGAUAAAAGGGUUCGUCGACAUGCAGCCCAGUUACCCAUAAAAAGGACAAAAGCAGUUUACCAUCAUUCUAUAACCAUAGGCGGAAUAUACCAUCACCAUAUUAUACGGAAAAGGAACAGAAAAGGACUAUAUAAGGACUCUAUGGAAGGAUGAAUGUGUCUUCCUGACACGGUAAAUUAACAUAAUGGAUUUUUUUUUUGAUGGAACUAGAUUGUUGGGCUGGUCUGGGCUCUAUACACAACACCACCAUGUCGCGCGAAUAUA